GAUGAACGCUGGCGGCGUGCCUAAUACAUGCAAGUCGAGCGAACGGACGAGAAGCUUGCUUCUCUGAUGUUAGCGGCGGACGGGUGAGUAACACGUGGAUAACCUACCUAUAAGACUGGGAUAACUUCGGGAAACCGGAGCUAAUACCGGAUGAUAUUUUGAACCGCAUGGUUCAAAAGUGAAAGACGGUCUUGCUGUCACUUAUAGAUGGAUCCUCGCUGCAUUAGCUAGUUGGUAAGGUAACGGCUUACCAAGGCAACAGUGCAUAGCGGACCUGAAAGGGUUAACGGCCACACUGGACAGGGAACACGCUCCAAACACCUACGGAAGCCGCCGGUAGGGAAUCUACCGCAAUGGGCAAAGGCCUACCGGAGCAACGCCGCGUGAGUAAUGAAGGUCUUCGGCUGGUAAAACUCUGUGGUUGAGGAAAAACAUAGUUAUAGGUAACUGUGCACAUCUUGACGGUACCUAAUCAGAAAGCCACGGCUAACUACGUG
rnacentral:rRNA from 1 species